rnacentral:rRNA from 1 species
UACGGAGGGGGCUAGCGUUGUUCGGAAUUACUGGGCGUAAAGCGCACGUAGGCGGCUUUGUAAGUUAGAGGUGAAAGCCCGGGGCUCAACCCCGGAAUUGCCUUUAAGACUGCAUCGCUAGAAUUGUGGAGAGGUAAGUGGAAUUCCGAGUGUAGAGGUGAAAUUCGUAGAUAUUCGGAAGAACACCAGUGGCGAAGGCGACUUACUGGACAGAUAUUGACGCUGAGGUGCGAAAGCGUGGGGAGCAAACAGG